rnacentral:lncRNA from 1 species
UUUAUUUAGCCUCUGAAAGAAACAAAUCACAGGAACUCUGCAUCCAAUAAAAUCAUGCAAUUAUGACCAAAUUUUGCACCCAAAAAGACAAAUGUACGCAAAAUUCCCGAUAAACGCAAGAAUAAUAUGAUUAACAUAGCCCUAAUGAGAAAAUGGGUGGAAAUUAACUACCAUGCAAAUUAUAAAACUAGGUUUAUAUAUAUAUUAUCAGUUUUAUCAUGAACCAAACAGAUUGUACGAUAAAUUAGAAUUAUAAUUACAAUACUUACCAACGCAUUCUGAAAAUGUAUAUAAUUUUCAAACAUGGCACAUAAAAUCGCACGUAUAUCUAUAUAAUUGUUGUUUGCUGCUCCGAAUUUCUCACGAAUUCCUGAUUUGCCGUAAUGUGGAAUCGAAAAUACGUAGGUAUAUAUACAUACAUACAUUACAUAUGUAGAUUUCUAGAUAGAGAAACAAGGUGAAGAAAAUGUGGGAAAUUUUAGAGAGAAAAUAUGGAAGAAAUCGUCUCAGAUUGAGAAGGGGAGGGGGGCUUGCGGAA